CUGCAGCCCGAGUGGUGAUCGAUUUUAUUGAGCCUAAAGCGUCCGUAGCCGGACUAGUAAACCCUUGGGUAAAUUUGGCAGCUUAACUGUCCAAAUUCUGAGGGGACUGCUAGUCUUGGGACCGGGAGAGGUCAGAGGUACUCAAGGGGUAGGGGCUAAAUCCUGUAAUCCUUUGGGGACCACCAGUGGCGAAGGCGUCUGACUAGAACGGAUCCGACGGUAAGGGACGAAACCCUGGGGCGCGAACCGGAUUAGAUACCCGAGUAGUCC
rnacentral:rRNA from 1 species